ensembl:snoRNA small nucleolar RNA, C/D box 67
UGCGAGAGUGAUGAGCUGCACUUCAGUGGAGCUGCCAUGUCAGGUGACAUGGACCCCACUCAGAAUCUCCCUGAUGACAAAGCUAUGUGCACAGGGGCCAUCUGACUCGCU